rnacentral:rRNA from 1 species
UACGUAGGGUGCAAGCGUUAAUCGGAAUUACUGGGCGUAAAGCGUGCGCAGGCGGCGCCGCAAGUCAGGCGUGAAAUCCCCGAGCUCAACUUGGGAAUUGCGCUUGAAACUACGGUGCUGGAGUGUGGCAGAGGAAGGUGGAAUUCCACGUGUAGCGGUGAAAUGCGUAGAGAUGUGGAGGAACACCGAUGGCGAAGGCAGCCUUCUGGGCCAACACUGACGCUCAUGCACGAAAGCGUGGGGAGCAAACAGG